UGGUAGAUGCACCCUGAUUGAUCGCCCCCGGCCAAAUUUGGCUGGGGUUUUUUAU
rnacentral:sRNA from 17 species